rnacentral:lncRNA from 1 species
GGAACGGUCAGGCUGAGGACCAGUCUGGGCCAGUGAAAUUCAGUAGUGAGAUGUCUAGAGUUUAAAAGUUGUUUCCCAAAACAAUAUUAGUCUUGUUUUUAGCAAAAGGGUUUUCCUGAUAUUUAAAAGAACCCAGACACACAGAGGAAAAAUAUAAUCAGCAAAAAAACAAAACAAAACAAAAUAACACAACAAUAACAACAACAACAAACAAAAACCCAAUUCUCUGUGCCAGCUUCUGUGACCUACUGAUACUAGCUGUAACUGAUACUAGCUGUUAAGGGUGAAAUGCUGACCACUCCUGUUUUAAGAACCAAGUGAAAUUAAAAAAGAAAAUGUGGCCUCCUACUUUACUUUGCCUCUCUGAAGGACAACUGAGAGCCUUGUUCACUGGGGUAAGAGAAGGCAAAACCUCCUAAGCUUAGUUUUGCUGGAUUAACAUUGCUUGUCCGUCAUUUCUGAAAAAUGCUUUAGACGUACAGAAUCUUUCAAUAAAUUCCUGCUUUUCUUGAGGCCCCCUGUCAACAAGAAACAGUGUAAGAUGAAGAGCCACCUGCUGCAUUUGAGUUAGACAUGUCUGGGGCCUUUUCUGUUUGGCUUUUGUUAUAGGAGAGAAUCAGAGGAGAGGGAGGGAGAGAGGAGAGAGAGAGAGAGAGAGAGAGAGAGAGAGAGAGAGAGAGAGAGAGAGAGGCUAGGUAGUGUCUGGAGAAGUAAGGGCUGUGUUUGCCUCACUUCAUUUGCUCUCAGAGGGUCAAUAGGAAAGUUCCAUUAGGAAACCAGCACACUAGGGUACAUGAAUAGUCCACCUAUUCCCAGUGGAUCUAUGUGGCAUUGUAACCAUUAUGCCUACUAGGGAUGCUGUCCUCUGAGUACACGUGGCUCCCCAAAUGUCUACUUAGCAUUUAUGUCAGGGCCAGAGUGAAAGGUGGGUGGGCCUUGCUACAUUUUGGUUUGCUAAGCAAUACUCCUUAAGACUGAGAUUCUAGCUAUAAAUGCCCCAAAUAUAUAUAUAUAUAUAUUUGUCUUUUCCUCUCAGAGUGACUAGUCAAGUUAUAUGUCAUUUGGAAGGCAGACAUUCACUGCCCAUCAAAGAUACCACAGUCAAAGAACCAUUGGAAGUAAAGAAACUUUUUAAUUUGUUUUAGCCCACUCCCAUGUGACAUCUAAGCAGGAACCAUAUUGUAAGGCAAAUGCUAUCUUCAAUUCCCAAAACAGUGGGUCUAACUUUGAAAGUUUAAAAGUCACAACUGACGAAUCCACACUAAAUGAAUUUGCACAAGCCCAGCCUGUGAGUUUCAUUUGUACUGAGUGCUCCUUCCCCGAAUCUCUGAGUCUUCCAUAUCCAUAGCCAAUAAGUCACAGGAUGGAUUAGAUUAGGCUCACAAAUGCAAAUGCAGACUUUGGAGGGUAGUGAAGAGAGAAAAAUAAGAGAGGAGGAAGCUGAAAAUGUAGGACCACACCAGAGAUGAAAAAUGACAAUGCUGAGAAACAUGCCACGUCUAAAUUCUGCCACAAACAUGCAGUAUUGCUAAAAAUAAAAAAUAAUAAUCAAAAAACAGUUUGGCAGCCACAGUAACCUUCUAGGAGCUUGUACCACAGUCUUUCAUAUAAGUUGGAUUUAGAUUUGGUUCAUGUCAAAAGGAUUGCCUCAAAACUAACUUCUUUGAAACUAUCAGCAGCCUAAGUAUCCUAAAAGCACAUCACUGGUCAAAGACAGGGAUGUCUGCCUUCCUCGCUGUGCCUAUAACGAGACCAUCAGAAAUAUGUGUCCUUCAUUGUUUAUUGGAGAUGCCCUGUCGGUCGCUUAUUUUGGACGCACUGGUGACGUAAUGGUGCACAUUCUCUCCAACAUUGUAGCAGAACUGUUCUUUGGCGAGACAAGUUGCAAUCUCCAUCUUACCUAUUAAAAUAAUGCCAGAAACCAAAUAUGAAUCUUAUGGCCUUCAAUUUGUGCUUGGCAUUGAAAGAGGAAAACCACAUACCGUGUAAGUCUGAGUGCUUCUUUGCAAUGGUAUUCUUCAAAGCUGUUAAGUAAAAAACCUGGAGGAAAGGAUAGUUUCCACCGUGUGGAAUGUGAAUAAGCAAAAAGUUAUGGUUAUUUAAUGUAAUUAGGAAUUCAAAGUCCUUCGGUUACUGUGAUUUCAAACAUGUUUUCUUUCUCUAUUUUACAUGGCAGCCUCUGAGUUGGGCAAAGAAGAAUCAGGCCCUUGCAUGUUGCUAGAGACUUUUGUCAGGUCAGAGGGAAACAGUCUUGUCACAUGUGAAGAGAUGUUACCAAGUCAAGGACAAGCUUUUAUUUUUUAAAAUUGAAUGUUCCUUAAAAGUUGACAAUUCUGAAGCAAUAUUAGGAAAGACUUUAAAUGUUCUUUUGAGAGACUUAUGAUGUGUGUAUAUAAGCAAAUAGCAGAUAAUGAUGGCUAGCUAGUUCAGACAUAUACGAACAGAACAUUUCUAAACAAGAAGUCCUAGCUGAACGACUGAAAGAGAUUCUAUUGGUUUGUCAUUUCUCAAGAUAUUUAAUAUCACCUACAUUGUGUAUUUAAUAUGCUUCAAUCAUUUUAAAACAAAGAAGGAUUAUAUAGGCUAUGAUGGAAUUUGCUUUGGAUAAGGGCGAGGCAGGAUUUAAUGGUCUCAUAAAAGCUAAUUUGACUUAAAGUUUUAUGAAUCUGUAACUAGAAUUUUAUUUUCACCCUAAUAACAUUCUAUAUAACCUUUGCCAAACAAAGCAAUCAAUAAAUUAAACCUCUUCUUUUUGUG